rnacentral:ncRNA from 1 species
AAGUUUUAUCCUGGCUUAUCCUUUCAAUCUUAGGUCGAUGGUACAUGCAAGAUUAAGACGUGUUAAAAAGUUUGUAAAAUUAAAUAUUUACAGACAAAUAAUAAAAAGGAGUUGAUAAUAAUUAAAGUCGCAGUAUUUGAUGCUAAUACAUCAAUAAAAGUUGGAAUUGGUGAUCCUAAUAUAUGUCCGGUUAAAAUUUGUGCCAGCAGCCGCGGUUAUACUGAGGGACAAAUUGAAAGAAAGUUGGUUAAAAAUGAUUAAGCGAAUCGUUUAAAUUAACUUACAAACUCGUGUUAAUAAAGGGUGAAAUCAAUUUUUUAGCGUGCAAAUGAGUAAGUUAACUUGAAAUUAGGUCGAAGUUAUUAAGAUAAAGGUAUGAACCAGGAUUAGAUACCCUGCUACACUUUAUUUAAAGUUAAAAUACCUGGGUAUUAAACAGUUAUUGGCUUGAAACUCAAAGGAUUUGGCGGUAGUUUAGUCUAUUUAGAGGAACCUGUUCUAUAAUCGAUAGUCCACGAAAAAUCUUACUUUAUCUUGUAAAAGUCCAGUUUGUAUACCGUCAUUAUUAGAUAACUUUUAUAAAAUGUUUAGUUAUUAAAAUAAAAUUCAUUUAAUAUAUUAGAUCAAGGUGCAGCUCAUGAUAAAGGAGAAAUGGGUUACAAUAAUAUAAGUGUUUAAUACGGAUUAAAGAGAGAAUCCUCUUUAUGAAGGUGGAUUUAAUAGUAAAGGGGUUUUAAUAAGAUUCUUUGAUUAUAGCUCUAAGCUAUGUACACAUCGCCCGUCGCUCUCGUUAAUUAAAGCGAGAUAAGUCGUAACAUAGUAGGUGUACUGGAAAGUGUACCUAGAAAUU